AAAAGUCGUAACAAGGUUUCCGUAGGUGAACCUGCGGAAGGAUCAUUAAUAAAAGGAUACCUUCGGGUAUACCCCAUCCGUGUCUACAUACUCUUGUUGCUUUGGCAGGCCGUGGUCUUCCACUGUGGGCUCUGCCUGCAUGUGCCUGCCAGAGGACCAAACUCUGAAUGUUAGUGAUGUCUGAGUACUAUAUAAUAGUUAAAACUUUCAACAACGGAUCUCUUGGUUCUG
rnacentral:misc_RNA from 1 species